rnacentral:lncRNA from 1 species
CUGGGACACACGACCUCAGAAGGACUGAAUAGAAGCCUGGUAGCAGGAUGAGCUGCCUACUUUUCCGAGUCACCCUGGGGCAAGUGAAUCUCCAAUAUGUGGGGGAAGGAACAAGAAGAGUUUCCCUGGCCCUUUUUCCCUGCCUGAAGAUGAUGUCUCAGAGGUUGUCUUGUGGUGGCAGAAAACAACAGAAAAUCACCCAAGCACAUCAAACAGUCCAACAAGGGUGGAUAGCAGCAGUCCACUGGGAGUCUGACAACAUCACUGAUAAUUGUGGUUUCCUAAGGACUGUGUAUCUUCCCACAGCCUGUACCUGUAACUUUCAUUUCUGGAGUCUCGGCUCUCCUUUCCAGUGAAGGACUCCUCACAGGAGCUGGCUGCCAACCCAGUUUCUCAAAUACAAUUAUUUUUAUGAUGAGGUUCAAGGAAGCUUGGGGCAUCAAGAGGACUUCUCAGAUCAAUAUCAUGUUUGCAGCCCUGCUCUCCAGCUUCCAUCUGUUAAAGGACAAGUCGUAAUAGGAAUUAUUUGGGGGCUCAUACACACACAUACACACAU